UUUCUUGUGCGUAUACUACGUCACCAUGAUGAUCAUUCGUGAGUUCCUUUGGAAUCGGACGUCAAGUAGUGUUCUCGUUUUAGCGAGUACAUUGAUUUUUUCAAGAAAUUUUUGGAAUAUUUAUUUAAAAACCAAUAAGCUUCUUCAUGACGAUGGCAUACCGUGAUCGUGAACGUGGUGAUAGGAGAGGUGGAGGUGGUUCUAGAGGAGGCCGUUUUGGUGGACGAGAUGGAGGCAGUGGUGGAAGAUUUGGAAGUAGUGCAAACAGAGAUAACAGCAGUUUUGGAAGUAAUAAUUUUAAAAACCGUCAGCCUGGUGAACGAUUACGCAAACCUAGAUGGGAUAUGAGUACUUUGCAACCAUUUAGAAAAGACUUUUAUCAACCACAUCCUAAUGUCACAACAAGAAGUCUUCAUACAGUUGAAGCUUACCGUUCAGACAAAGAGAUCACAGUAAAAGGCUCUAAUGUCCCUGGGCCCAAUAUUUAUUUUGAAGAGGGUGGUUUUCCAGAUUAUGUUUUAAGUGAAAUUCGUAGACAAGGCUUUGGAGAACCAACAGCUAUACAAGCACAAGGUUGGCCUAUUGCUUUGUCUGGACGUGAUAUGGUUGGCAUAGCGCAAACAGGAUCUGGAAAAACAUUAGCUUAUAUUUUACCAGCUAUAGUGCAUAUUAAUCAUCAACCUAGAUUAAGUAGAAAUGAUGGUCCUAUAGCUCUUAUUUUGGCACCUACAAGAGAACUUGCACAACAAAUACAACAAGUAGCAUCAGACUUUGGAGUUUCUUCACAGGUUAGAAAUACUUGCAUUUUUGGUGGAGCUCCUAAAGGUCCACAGGCACGAGAUCUGGAAAGAGGAGUAGAAAUUUGUAUAGCAACUCCUGGUCGUCUAAUAGAUUUUUUGGAACGCGGUACAACAAAUCUUCGUAGAUGUACAUAUUUGGUACUUGAUGAAGCAGAUAGAAUGCUUGAUAUGGGGUUUGAACCCCAAAUUAGAAAAAUUGUAGAACAAAUACGUCCAGAUAGGCAAACACUUAUGUGGUCAGCAACAUGGCCAAAAGAAGUUCGUAACUUGGCAGAAGAGUUUUUAACUGACUAUAUACAAAUCAAUAUUGGCUCUUUACAAUUAGCAGCUAAUCAUAAUAUCCUUCAAAUAGUGGAUGUAUGUGAAGAAUAUGAAAAAGAAAGUAAAUUAAUGAAACUUUUGGAAGAGAUUUCUAAUGAACCAGAAAAUAAAACUAUCAUUUUUGUUGAAACAAAAAGAAAAGUGGAUGAUAUUACACGAGCUAUUAAUAGAUAUGGAUGGCAAGCAAUUGGCAUCCAUGGAGAUAAAAGUCAACAAGAAAGAGAUUAUGUAUUAAAUCAAUUCCGGAAUAGCAGAUCAGCAAUACUAGUUGCUACGGACGUUGCAGCAAGAGGUUUAGGUAAGAUUCUGUUUUAGCAAGUGUGGGUAUGAUGUAAGGGUCAGGCUGCGAUGGUUGUUUCACGGUUGUGAGAGUCUUAAUAUUGUGAUGUGGCAACGGAUAACGGCAUGUGCCAGACUGAUUGACGUUAGUCCCUAAGCAACGUGGAUGAAGAUAACUUUAAGAUUGUUUAGGAAUAUCAUGGAGCAGGGUAUUUAAUGAUUUAGAAUUUAUAUUUAUUUAGCCAGUUUUAUAUUUAAUUUUUCUCACCCAUUUAGAAGAUUCAGUGAUUUAAACAUCUUUAUAAGUACAAAUAAAUGUUACUACCAAUAUGAUCUAUUUAGAAAUAAGUCUGAAGAAGGAGGAAUAAUUCUUAACUUAUUUCUUCAUUAGUUGCAUUAUUAGUUUAGGUGGAUUUUGACAUACGUUUUCAAUUUUGAUAAAAAUUGAUUCUAAAUCAAACUGACUUGAGUAAAAUAUAUAAUAUCGUAUAAAAUAAUCUCAGAACAUAUACAUACAAGCAAUAUAUGUAAAGUUUAGAAGUUUAUCAAAAUGAAAAGUAUGCCAAGAUAUUUCAGGUAAAGUCGAAAAUGAGCAGGUAAGAAGAUAGAAACGUUUGUUUUUCGAUUUUGCUCUGAUUGAGACAAGUCUUGUCAGUCUGGUAUUAACGUGCUGUUCUAUGUGUUUUCAGAGGCACAUGCGACGGAGUUUUAUCAAUGAUAAGAACUCUGGAGAGUUUGCUUUGGAAUAUAUAAUUGAACGGGGCGUGACUGCUGGUCUUCGCCCCCUCGCAACAAGCUAAACUAACGCUGUGCCUCAGCCGUGCCACUUGAAAAAACACACUCUCACUCUGUACCUGCGAUGGUCCAAAGUAUGGAAGUAACAAUGUUAGGGAAUCUAUAAUGUAUACAGGGCAAUUAAACCUGAUAGAUAUUGAUAUAUAUUAGAUUAGAGUAAUAGGAUAUAGUAUCGAUUUACGUUUUAAUAUUUGCAGAAUUAAUGCAUUCAUAUCGAUUCUAAAAUCAUAAUUUAUAAAUUUCCUUUUCUAUGAGGUAUGUUUCGAUUGUAGUAUCGCAAGACUGCUUAAAAUACUUACGAGUUUGAAGCAGUGUUAGAAUUUGUUAUUAAACAGGUUGGAGAGACGAUUCGUUAUAUCGAAGAAAGUCGUCGGUAAAUCGAUAAAUUACAAUCUUCCGUGCAGUUGGUAAUAGCUUUAUAAAACUUCAGCAAAUAACAAAAAGAAAUCCUUGAUGCUAAACACGCAAUGGAGUAUACAUGGGGUUGAGUGGAGUGCGCAUAUGGUGCUCAUCCAAUGUUCAAACCUUACCGAAGCAAUGCACAAGGACCAAAUUUUCAAAGACCAGCACAGAUCCAUACUUUGGUGCGGGAGAGAAGGGUGUGAAGUUACUAAGAAUAAAUGUAGAGCUCGCUCACUCAUUAAGCGAGAAUUCUAUGAGAACCAUCUGAGCUCUGAUUCCUCUACAUUUCCAAAAAUGUAUUUACAUUUCCAGCUUUAGGCACAAACAGAUGUGGAAGAUGUCAAAUUUGUGAUAAACUUGGAUUAUCCGUCCAACUCAGAAGACUAUGUUCAUCGUAUUGGACGUACGGGACGAUCGCAACGAACAGGAACUGCAUAUGCCUUCUUUACACCUGGAAAUGCACACAAAGCUAGUGACC